UUCAUGGAAGUUAGUGAGAGUUAACCUGUUCAUAAUAAUUAUUAAUAUAUUGAGUAAAAUGCAUGUUAAAGCCGUGCUGUGGUUUAUUUAGUGUCAUCCGUAAUCACCAAUGUGAUACUACAGCAACACGAUUUAGCAAAACUGUCAUGCCUUUUUUAUUGUCUAACUUUUAAGGAAUAAAUCGUUUUUAGAUGUGUUUCUAAUAUUAUGUUCUACCUUCAUGGUUCAGGGACUUCAACCACAGGCAUAUGGGAACGACUGUGGGAUCUCAUGAUUAUGGUAUACUCAGUCGCAGACUUAAAAUGUACUGAACAGAUAUAACAACGCGUGUGAAUGUUGUCACCAAUUACAUUUUUCCAUCACAGUAUGCUUGGUACCUUGCCAUGGAGGCACCGUUUAACUUCACUGUUGUAAUCAUGCCAGUCCUCAGAAAAUUGUGGUGCACAGUACUGCUUGAGAACUUCCACCUUGAUUGGCACGGCAGAAGGUUCCCACACUUCAUGGAGGAGGCCAAACAAAUGGCGGCUGGACUACUUCCACCAGUCUUCAGACUGAAGCGAAAAAGAGAAUGAGUUGGAGCUGAUGGCAGUCAGCAUGAAGAAGCUAUAUCUUUAAG